rnacentral:rRNA from 1 species
AUUAAACGCUGGCGGCAUGCCUUACACAUGCAAGUCGAACGGCAGCACGGGGGCAACCCUGGUGGCGAGUGGCGAACGGGUGAGUAAAGCAUCGGAACGUGCCCUGGAGUGGGGGAUAACGUAGCGAAAGUUACGCUAAUACCGCAUAUUCUGUGAGCAGGAAAGCAGGGGAUCGCAAGACCUUGCGCUCUGGGAGCGGCCGAUGUCGGAUUAGCUAGUUGGUGGGGUAAAGGCCUACCAAGGCGACGAUCCGUAGCGGGUCUGAGAGGAUGAUCCGCCACACUGGGACUGAGACACGGCCCAGACUCCUACGGGAGGCAGCAGUGGGGAAUCUUGCGCAAUGGGCGAAAGCCUGACGCAGCAACGCCGCGUGGGGGAUGAAGGCUCUCGGGUUGUAAACCCCUUUCAGCAGGGACGAAAUAAGACGGUACCUGCAGAAGAAGCUCCGGCUAACUACGUGCCAGCAGCCGCGGUAAUCUGAGUCGGAG